rnacentral:rRNA from 1 species
CGGGUGAGUAACACGUAUCCAACCUGCCGUCUACUCUUGGACAGCCUUCUGAAAGGAAGAUUAAUACAAGAUGGCAUCAUGAGUCCGCAUGUUCACAUGAUUAAAGGUAUUCCGGCAGACGAUGGGGAUGCGUUCCAUUAGAUAGUAGGCGGGGUAACGGCCCACCUAGUCUUCGAUGGAUAGGGGUUCUGAGAGGAAGGUCCCCCACAUUGGAACUGAGACACGGUCCAA